AAAUAUAAAUAUAAAAUAUAAAAAUUCUAAUUCUAAUAUAAAGAAAAGAAUAAUAUUAUUAUUUUUUAUUUAUAACUACCCACUUUAAUUCUUAUUCCAUCUUACCUAACCAAACGCUAUUUUUCUUAUUUUCAGGAAUAACCCAAUUUUCAUCCAAACGCAAAAUUGAUCUAAUCCCCGCUUAUACCUCAAUUUAUAUCUAUCCCCGGAAUACCCACUUUUUUCUUAUUCUCGAACCAAACGAUACCUUAGGGUUCAAUCAAAUCAAUAAAUCAAGAUACGAUUCACUCCAUCUUCUUUACAAAGGUCUCUUAAUCGAAGGUGCCCCAAUUUCCAGGGAAAAUUUAACAGUAGAUGCUUGCAUCUAUUGGAAGUUAUGGACCCGCAAUACCUGAUACCCACAUACAUACCUAUACUAAUCUGAAUCAUGAAUACUACCCCACGGCCAAAUCCAUAGACCGUGCGAGGUGUGUCAUUCGUGAUGGCAGACAAUGUCUUAGAUCUU
rnacentral:lncRNA from 1 species